UCAUUUCACCUGUCUGCCCUUAGCAUGGAAGGGAAAUGCCGAUGACUUCUAUGUGUUAUGAAGGAUGGCCGUGUCCUGUGGUCCCUGGGCUAUGCUUCCAGAAAACCAGCAGGCAGCAUUUCAGUUCUAACAGUAACCACCUUGGAAAAGAUUACUACUGAUUGCUUUCUUCAAUCUCUUUUAAUGCUACAACAUAACAGGAAACAAUUGAAAGAGAAAAUCAAAAGGCAAUUAACUAUAAGGACAAGAGAAAGAUCACUGUCCUCUUUAUCUUUGAUCUAUUGUACAUAAUACUUUAAGAAGUUCUUGGUAGGUAUCACAAUUCAAAAGGAAAACACAUCAAUUUCACUUCAAGCUGCAGCCCCCAGGGUAAGCAUUCAGC